UGCGACCUGCGCAGGCUGAAACCAGUCUCUCGAGCUGAAAGAAAACGCAGCUGAGGAGAUAUGAGGAAACUUCCACCUACAGUAAGCAGAUGCUGAGGCCCAGAUUUCCAUGCUAAGCACUCCAAGGCUCAUCAUGCUCGGAGUGUCCAAUCUGAGGGCAAAAAAUGGAUGCUUUCCAUCGAGGGCAGAGUUCUCCUCCAAUUGAGUGACGGUUGUGAUUUCGCUUCUGCUCUAGCCUUUUUGCGUCAUACUAUGUAUGAGGCAGCCACUACAUUGGGAUUUAUCCAGAGGGUAGAGUCCAGCCCAGGAAGUCAACUAGUUCAUGUCCAGAUUUAAAAGAAUAAUAUUUCUGAAAAAAAGGUCUUGGAGAAAAACAAUAUUCAGGUUUGAAAUCCUGCUGUAAAUGUAAAUCAUUUAACUUUUAUGCAUUUGUAAUUUACCAGAAACUUUUUAAUAAAUAUUGAUUGUUUUGUGUGUUCAGAAAAGUGUUGAAAUUAAAUGAAACAUUCACAGAAAAAUGUUAACAUAUUUAAAAAAAUUUAUAUGUUCAGAAAAGUUUUGAGAUGUUCACAGAAAAAAUGUAACACAAAAAAUGUAUGCUAUGCUAUUUUUAAUUUAUGAAUUUUUGUAAUUUAAAGUGAUAAAAUAAAUGGCAUUUUUGUGACAAA